AUUGAACGCUGGCGGCAGGCCUAACACAUGCAAGUCGAACGGUAACAGGAAGAAGCUUGCUUCUUUGCUGACGAGUGGCGGACGGGUGAGUAAUGUCUGGGAAACUGCCUGAUGGAGGGGGAUAACUACUGGAAACGGUAGCUAAUACCGCAUAACGUCUCAAGACCAAAGAGGGGGACCUUCGGGCCUCUUGCCAUCGGCUUUGCCCAGAUGGGAUUAGCUAGUAGGUGGGGUAACGGCUCACCUAGGCGACGAUCCCUAGCUGGUCUGAGAGGCUGACCAGCCACACUGGAACUGAGACACGGUCCAGACUCCUACGGGAGGCAGCAGUGGGGAAUCUUGCGCAAUGGGCGCAAGCCUGAUGCAGCCAUGCCGCGUGUAUGAAGAAGGCCUUCGGGUUGUAAAGUACUUUCAGCGGGGAGGAAGGGAGUAAAGUUAAUACCUUUGCUCAUUGACGUUACCCGCAGAAGAAGCACCGGCUAACUCCGUG
rnacentral:rRNA from 1 species